rnacentral:lncRNA from 1 species
GUUUUAGAGGGCAUGAAAUAUGUCAAACAUGUCAUUUGAAGAACAUCUGUGAGUUUGCAUGUUAUGUGCUAUUCUUAUUUUUGUUUUCAAUGUUAAUAGUAUGUAGUUCCUUUAUUUGUAGAUCUUAAUUUCUUGGUUCAUUUAAAUUUUAAGAAAAUCAAUACAUAUAUAGUAGUAACCUUAAGAAAAAAUAAAAUGAGCAAAAAAUUUUUGAAUAUAAAUCUAUUCCAUUGUAUUUGGUAUAUUUAUUCCUUUAUGGUUAUUAUCACCCAUAUAUUUCAUUGAGUCCAACAUUAUGUUAAAUGAAUUGUCUUUUUAU